AUGUCAUCGUCAUGGUCUGGCGCGAGAACGACAAUUCGGCAAGGAGAGCUGAGCCGAGCUGAUUUUUCAUGUGCUCUGCCGGCGCCCCCAAAAGCGGCCAAAACCCCCACCCGCGAUCUCGUCGCUAGCGGAGAAGGCUUUGCCUUCGAGUCGAGGCACUGUGAUCUGACGGGCAACGAGCUUUUGGCGAGGGCAAAUAAUAAUGAGGAGAACCAGAAAGGCUGGGAAAAGGGUGGGAAGGCCGGAUGGAUGAAUCAUUCGGAGCAUAUCCACUCGCGUCGACAAGGGUGCCAAUCCAAGUUCAGUGGCCCGAGUGCUGCACACCUUUUGCUUGGGGAGGGGAUGGAUAACAUAAAGAAGCGCGGCUGCCGUGGUGUAAAGGGGAAAACACACCAUCGUGGAAUAGUUGCGAUUUUGGUGGGAAUUAACGUGGCCCUUCUUGGCAAUAAUGCCAUGCCGAUUGCGAAAACAAAAAUAUUUUAA
rnacentral:rRNA from 1 species